UCAAAUAAAAUGAAAUUAUUCAAUAAAAUAACAAUUGAGACAUUCUUUCAUCCAUUUUCUUAGUACAUCAUAGAUAGUGAUAACUACAUUUCUUUUCAAGAAUGACACAAGGAUUAUGUUCCCAUUCACAUAUCAUCAUGUAUGGCGGGUUCAUCACUCCCUUGAUUGGAUCCUCCUUGAUCAGAUCCAAAAGUAGUUCGCCUGCUCAUGUUGGCU
rnacentral:lncRNA from 1 species